GCCCUCUUAGCUCAGAGGUAGAGCGCAUCACUAGUAAUGAUGAGGUCGUUGGUUCAAUUCCAGCAGUGGGCA